GCAUGAUCUUGGCUCACUGAAACCUCUGUCUCCCGGGUUCAACCGAUUCUCCUGCCUCAGCCUCCCAAGUAGCUGGGAUUAUAGGCACCCACCACCAUGCCUGGCUAAUUUUUGUAUUUUUAAUAGAGACGGGGGCUUCACCGUGUUGGCCAGGCUUGUCUUGACCUCCUGACCUCAGGUGAUCCACCCAACUUAGCCUCCCAAAGUGCUGGGAUUACAGGCAUGAGCCACCGCUCCCGGCCUCUUGCACUGAAGUCCAAAGGCCAGAAGAACCCGGAGGCUUUCGGCGUUUCCGCCUUUGCCUUCCGAUGUCCAUUCCCAUCUGAGCAGUCAUUUCUGCUUAAUUCCGCCAUUACUUCCUCCCUUGAUGCUUCUGAAACUGUCUCCUCAGCAGAUGAUCCCUGCAUUAGUUGGCGGAGCUGAUGGUGUUCCCUGUUUUACCCUGUGGUCUCAUUUCCGGAUGCUGCUACCAAUGCCCGUCUCUAUGGCUCCCUGCCCACGUGUGCAGCCCCGUCACUGAGAGGGAAGUGGCUGGAGAGGUGUCCAGAUCAUUGUGAAUGAAGUCAUCUGUGAAACCAUGGGAGAGAGAUUUGAUAUCUGCUUCCCUUUCAAAUGAAAGGAAAAGAGUGGGGUGAGAGAGGGCGGCACUCCCCAGACAGGCCCUGACCACACCCUGGCCCCACGCCUCAGCAGAACAACUCUGAACCUCUAUGGACUCACAGGGGCGAGGUCGGGGCAAGGAGACUCAGGGCCUGCGCUGCUCACCGGGUGAGAAGUCACAGCUGGUUAGGAGGCCACAGGUAAGCAGAGGUGCGAGCCACCAGGGACGGGGUGAGUUAUUCACAGGUGAAUGAGCUAGGACGAGGCAACAGCACGCAGGCCACGCCUCGCCAACCCAUGGGUCCUCAACAGGAUUUUGGUGACACGCAACACCCCUCUGGCUCCUGCUCUGAUCCAUGAUGGUGAGGGAGGUUCCCACGGUCACGCGUGUGCUGGGAUUCUGCUCUUUACGCCGUCCCCGGGCAACACAGACAUCAGCUCUUCUCUCCUCCAGCUGAGCAAAUGUAAGCUGUCCAGGAGAAUCCAUCCCAGCUGCUAACAAAAUCUUCAGACGAGAGUCAGUCUGAUUCGGAGUGGAAUGAAAUGAGCAUUCGGCAAUACCUCCGUGUGCCAGUGCAGCUGAGUUCUCGACGGCAAUGUCGCUGAUGGCGAGAUUCCGGGCCAUCCAUUUAUCCUGUGUGGAGGCUGACAGGGACGCAUGCCUCAUCUGCUGCCAAGACACUGGGUUCCCUUGAGGGGACUCUGUCGACAUAACUCACCCUGUCCCGGGUGGCUCGCACCUCUGCUUACCUGUGGCCUCCUAACCAGCUGUGACUUCUCACCUGAUGACUUGGAAUCCUGGCCUUUUAGGAUAGAAAGAGAACACAGAGAUCCCGGCCCAUCAAGCAGGCCCCAGAAACAUGGGCAGCAGCAGGAGAGUGCCCAAGCUCCUGGCAGGGUGGGUCCAACCCUGUGUCGUGCCCCUGAUUCAGGCGUUGAAGCCUCAACUCCAGAUGCUGGCAUGAGGAGGUGGUUCCUGGGGAGGUGAUUUGGGUUAGAUGGGGUCCUGAGGGUGAGGCCCUCACGAUUAGAAGAGAAAGAGACCGGGCUCUUGCUCUCUGCCACACGAGGACACAGAAAGCGCCAUCUACAAGCCAGGAAGGGGCCUUCAUGGCAAUCCUAGUGGGCUGGAUCUUGGUCUUUGGUUUCCAGCCUUGAGAACUGAGAAAUAAAC
rnacentral:lncRNA from 1 species